UACAGAGGGUGCGAGCGUUGUUCGGAAUUACUGGGCGUAAAGCGCGCGCAGGCGGCCCUUUAAGUCUGACGGUGAAAUGCCGGGGCUCAACCCCGUGCCCGCCGCGGAUACUGGAGGGCUGGAGACACGUAGAGGCAAGCGGAAUUCCGGGUGUAGCGGUGGAAUGCGUAGAGAUCCGGAAGAACACCGGAGGCGAAGGCGGCUUGCUGGGCGUAGUCUGACGCUGAGGCGCGAAAGCCAGGGGAGCAAACGGG
rnacentral:rRNA from 1 species